rnacentral:rRNA from 1 species
CAUCACUACGCUAGAUGCAUAUCAAUAAGCGGAGGAAAAGAAACUAACAAGGAUUCCCCUAGUAACGGCGAGUGAAGCGGGAAGAGCUCAAAUUUGAAAUCUUAAAGGGUUUCCCUUUACGAAUUGUAGUUUAAAGAAGUGUUUUCUGUUGGAGUUUCGGUAAAAGUUCUUUGGAAUAGGACAUCAUAGAGGGUGAGAAUCCCGUAUUUGACCGUUACUUUCCAGCUGUGUGAUACACUUUCAAAGAGUCGGAUUGUUUGGGAAUGCAGUCCAAAAUGGGUGGUGAAUUUCAUCUAAAGCUAAAUAUUGGCGAGAGACCGAUAGCGAACAAGUACCGUGAGGGAAAGAUGAAAAGAACUUUGAAAAGAGAGUUAAACAGUACUUGAAAUUGUCAAAAGGGAAGCGUUUGACACCAGUGUUGUUUAGUUGAAAAUCAAUUCAAUAGUUUUUGAUUCUAAGUAGUAUUGACUUCAUCAGCUUGCUGCUUUUCUUCUCAGAAAUUAUUGAAUGCACUUUUCAGUUAACAAGUCAACAUCAAUUUCUUUUGUUGUAAAAGGGUAAGAGGAAGGUGGCUUGCGCUUCGGCUCAAGUGUUUAUAGCCUUUUAUCUCCUGCAAUCGGAGAGAUUGAGGUCUGCAGCGUAGAUCCUUCGGGGUUAGAUACAUUGGUGCUAAGCUAUAGUUCUUGUAUAGACAACUUGUUGACUAUGAUCAGUCAUGUAGCUUACUCGCUGAUGCUAUUUUACCUACGCUUAGGAUGUUGAAGAUAUGCGCGACACG